AGAACCCGAAUCACACAAAUGGCAAGGUGGCAGAACCCGAAUCACACAAAUGGCAAGGUGGCAGAACCCGAAUCACACAAAUGGCAAGGUGACGAGCGCAAAGGGUUGUUCCAACUUUCAAGUGUGGACACCAUAAACCCUUGCUAUCUGAAGUUUCUGGAUGGAAGGAGUGUAAAAGAAGGAU